UCUUAGAAAUGUAUAAAACCAGUUGUAUCAGAGUUCUCUCCUUGUUCAAAGCUUCAUGUACAAAACUGGCUCUGAACCUUGCGCAAUAAAACUGUCUCUGGCUGACCCAGGAAUGUUGCUUGGUCCUCAUCAUUCCACAACAGUGGCCUAGAGGUGAAGAUGCUUGCCUCCCACUUGGAAGGUGGAGGGUACAAUCCUAGACAGUGGCAGAUGUUUCUCUAUCAGGGCGCAAAGAGAAAAUAUCUGCUGUGAACUCUGCGUAGGCAUCAGGAAGGGCAUCUGAUACAAAGGCUAAAGAAACCCAAAUCAGAUUCGAAGAACAGACCAAGGUGUGUUUCUGAAGACGACUGUAGUUAUGAAAGGCAACCACAAAUGAGGUACCUCUUGAAAGCCCAUCCAAGGAUGCAGAAACAGAUGGGAGUAGCUGACAGAGUAUUCAUUAAGGUGAAGAUGAAGAACGGUGCUUAGAUAUGAAUCGGUUUUAGAUAAUCAUGAAAUGGCGCUAACAGCCGGCACCGCAGAAACAAAUGAAAGGGAGUAAAAAUGUC